rnacentral:rRNA from 1 species
AUACGUAGGGUGCGAGCGUUGUCCGGAAUUACUGGGCGUAAAGAGCUCGUAGGUGGUUUGUCGCGUCGUCUGUGAAAUUCCGGGGCUUAACUCCGGGCGUGCAGGCGAUACGGGCAUAACUUGAGUACUGUAGGGGAGACUGGAAUUCCUGGUGUAGCGGUGAAAUGCGCAGAUAUCAGGAGGAACACCGGCGGCGAAGGCGGGUCUCUGGGCAGUAACUGACGCUGAGGAGCGAAAGCAUGGGUAGCGAACAGGAUUAGAUACCCUGGUAGUCCAUGCCGUAAACGGUGGGCGCUAGGUGUAGGGGUCUUCCACGACUUCUGUGCCGUAGCUAACGCAUUAAGCGCCCCGCCUGGGGAGUACGGCCGCAAGGCUAAAACUCAAAUGAAUUGACGGGG